rnacentral:tRNA from 1 species
GAGGAUAUAGCUCAGUGGCAGAGUGCAUGCUUAGUAUGCACAAGGUCCUGGGUUUAUCCCCAGUACCUCCA